rnacentral:tRNA from 1 species
GGUUGUGGCUCAGUGGCAGAGUGCUUGCCUAGCAUGUGCGAUACCCUGAGUUCAAUCCUCAGCACCA